rnacentral:lncRNA from 1 species
UCAAAUUGGUACACUAUGCAACAUAUAUAAUCAGUAGUGCAAGUGGCAAACUUUGCAUUUGAUUGUCAGGAAAUCCCUCUGCAAGAAGAAACAUCUUGUUUUAAAGAAGUACAAGAUAUGGAUUGCAUCAAUGAAUUAAGUCUCCGCAAAAAAAUUCAAUGAAUUAAGUCCCCCAAAAAAUUAAAUAAUGCAUGCUCUGUUGGUGUUAACAUAGAUUUGUCUACAUUGCUUAGUUUGUGUGAUGCAGUUUAAUAUACCCACAAAAUAAGUUGAAUUGUUCGUAAUUGGUGCCAAACAUAGGACUGAGAAGGGAUUAGGGAGAGAGGGGCUAUUACAUGAAUCUGCUACCUGCUGACGGUGGGGGUGUAUGAGGUGAAAAGGCUUCUUGCAGGGGGGGAGAAACAAAAUAAGAUUUUUAAUGUAACGAAAUGAGGUGUCCUAUUCUUCUUCUGCAUUCGAACUGAAUACACAGUACAUUGUCUCCUUGAAUGUAGCUAAAUACCAAAUUACCGGCUGAAGUUAUUUUCCAUUUCACCUAUUUGUUCUGUAGGAAGAGACUGCUCGGUGCUCAAGUGGUCUGAGGUCACGUAAAUCAGUGCUAUGAUCUCUCUGCUUAGAUAAGUCAUGAUGAAUCCAAAUCUACAAGCAAAAGACAACAAUUCUUAAAAUUCUCUGACUUGUUAUGUUUUCCUAAAUGUGGUGACUUUAGGAGCAUCUCCUUUUCAGUUUCCUGUGCCAAGACCUGAAGAAAAAAUGCAGAGUGUGGGGGGCUGACCUUGCUGCUGCAGGCUAGCGUAGAUCGAGGAGGCAGUGGCUGUGGGCUUGUAGUAAGACGUCAGGAGAGGGUGAUGCCUGGGUCAUUGGAUGUCAACCCCAAGCAUCGAUCUCCCCUUCCUGCUUUUGAUUGCCUCCAGAU